rnacentral:rRNA from 1 species
AUUGCCUCAGUAACGGCGAGUGAAGCGGCAAAAGCUCAGAUUUGAAAUCUGGCGUCAUAUUGGCGUCCGAGUUGUAAUCUGUAGAGGAGUAUUCGAGUGUGGCGCUGGCUUAAGUUCCUUGGAACAGGACGUCCUAGAGGGUGAGAACCCCGUUAACGGCCUUUGUCUUAUGCUCAUGUGAAUCUCCUUCAACGAGUCGAGUUGUUUGGGAAUGCAGCUCUAAAUGGGUGGUAAAUUCCAUCUAAAGCUAAAUACUGGCAAGAGACCGAUAGCGCACAAGUAGAGUGAUCGAAAGAUGAAAAGAACUCUGAACAGAGAGUUAAAUAGUACGUGAAAUUGUUGAAAGGGAAGCACUUGCUACCAGACACGCCUGUAGUUGAUCAACCUUCAUUCUUGAUGGUGCACUCAGCUAUAGGUGGGUCAGCAUCAGUUAUGGCGGUGGGAUAAAGACCUGGGGAAUGUGGCUUCUCUCGGGAAGUGUUAUAGCCCUGGGUGUAAUACCGCCUGCUGUGACUGAGGACCGCGCUUCGGCGAGGAUGCUGGCAUAAUGGUCGUAAGUGACCCGUCUUGAAACACGGACCAAGGAGUCUAACAUCUAUGCGAGUGUGUGGGUGUCAAAACCCUUACGCGGAAUGAAAGUGAAUGUAGGUGGGAACCGCAAGGUGCACCAUCGACCGAUCCUGAUGUCUUCGGAUGGAUUUGAGUAGGAGCAUAGCUGUUGCGACCCGAAAGAUGGUGAACUAUGCCUGAAUAGGGUGAAGCCAGAGGAAACUCUGGUGGAGGCUCGCAGCGGUUCUG